AGUAGAUAUCCCAGAUAGGGGGGAGUGAACAGGUGUUGUAUGUGGAGGAUGAGGGCUGCAGUAGGUAUCUCAGAUAGGGGGGAGUGAACAGGUGUUGUAUGUGGAGGAUGAGGGCUGCAGUAGAUAUCUCAGAUAGGGGGGAGUGAACAGGUGUUGUAUGUGGAGGAUGAGGGCUGCAGUAGAUAUCUCAGAUAGGGGGGAGUGAACAGGUGUUGUAUGUGGAGGAUGAGGGCUGCAGUAGAUAUCUCAGAUAGGGGGGAGUGAACAGGUGUUGUAUGUGGAGGAUGAGGGCUGCAGUAGAUAUCUCAGAUAGGGGGGAGUGAACAGGUGUUGUAUGUGGAGGAUGAGGGCUGCAGUAGAUAUCUCAGAUAGGGGGGAGUGAACAGGUGUUGUAUGUGGAGGAUGAGG